CCAGGUCCAUGCGAACCGUGUCCUGUAAAAUUUUACCAUUCAUGUCAACUCAUUGAUAUACGAGGCAAAUGAAACAGCAGGCAUAGGACCCAUAAUGAAGGGUGAUGGAGCAUACCAGGAUAACCAGCUGGUGGAUAUCCACCAUGAGGUGGAUGAGGGUAUCCUCCAUGAGGAGGAUAUCCUGCAGGUGGGUAUCCGCCAUGAGGAGGAUAUCCCGCUGGUGGAGGAUAUCCAGCCGGUGGGUAUCCUUGUGGGGGAUAUCCUUGAGGAGGAUAUCCUUGUGGAGGGUAGGAUCCAGGCGGAGGAUAAUGUCCGGCGGCAUAGCCAGCAAGAUGAGAAAACAGCCCUUUGUCAC
rnacentral:lncRNA from 1 species